GACGAACGCUGGCGGCGUGCUUAACACAUGCAAGUCGAACGAAGUGGCGAACGGGUGAGUAACGCGUACUCAACCUGCCCUUCAGAGGGGGACAACAGUUGGAAAGGACUGCUAAUCCCGCAUACUGACGGAGGAGAUUGCGUGUGAUUAGCUAGUUGGGGGGGUAACGGCCCACCAAGGGGAUGAUCAGUAGCCGGUCGGAGAGGAUGAACAGCCAAAUUGUGACUGAGACACGGCCCAGACUCCUACGGGAGGCAGCAGUGGGGAAUCUUCCACAAUGGACGAAAGGCUGACCGAGCAACGCCGCGUGAGUGAAGAAGGUUUUCGGAUCGUAAAACUCUGUUGUUAGGGAAGCGGUAUCUAACCAAAAAGCCACGGCUAACUACGUGCCAGCAGCCGCGGUAAUAC
rnacentral:rRNA from 1 species